AUGCAUAGUGUCACGUUCAAAGUGCAAGAGGACCUGACCGAUGUCGUCGCCCGUGAUAAUGCAUCUAAGUCAAUGCUGACGGAGUAUUUCCUCGCUAAUCAGAAGCACGAGUGGGCUCGGGAUAUCCUUUACAAGGACUUCCUAGGAAGUUUCACAUGGCAGAGACAGAAGUACUGGAGGCCGAGAGAAAAGCGGCACCAAGUUGGUCGAAUCGUGUCAGCCCAUCCAGCCGAGGGGGAGUGGUACUUUCUGCGAGUGCUGCUCAACCACGUGCCAGGCAAGACAUCUUUCGAGGACCUGCGGACCGUGGACGGUUUGCUAUGUGAUAGCUUCCGUGAGGCUGCCGAGAGAUUGGGCUUCAUUGAGGCCGACAACACGCUUGACGAGUGUCUUACAGAGUCAACAGAGUUCGCGAUGCCAGCCUCACUCAAGAGGCUCUUUGCAACAAUCUUGGUAUUCUGCGAGCCAGGUGACGUGCGCGGUCUAUGGCAUAGGCACCUAGAGGCGAUGUCUGAUGACUACCACCGAUCACACACGUGCUCAAAGGCAGUGGAGCAGAUGGUGUUGCUUGACAUCAGGGGCAUGCUACAGUCCAUGGGCAAAGACAUAGCAUUGUUCCCUCUUCCGGACAUCGACGAGACCUAUGACACUACUAGAGGUGAGGCUAGAGAAGUCACCGAGUCCACAAUCGAGGUUGACGCGAACGACGCUGCUUUAGCGUCCUCGCUAAACCCCGAGCAGAGACUUGCAUACGACGAGAUACUGGCAACAGUCGAUGCCGGUGAUGGGGGUGUAUUCUUUGUCGAUGGCCCGGGAGGCACCGGGAAGACCUUCCUAUACAAGGCACUACUCGCAAAGGUUCGAGGCGAGGGCAAGAUCGCGGUGGCUACGGCGACGUCUGGCGUCGCAGCUUCCAUCAUGCCUUGAGGAAGGACAACCCACUCGAGGUUCAAGAUCCCACUCAGCAUUGAAGAUGGGGCGUCGUGCAGCUUCACCAAGCAAAGUGGGACAGCCAAGCUCCUACGCAUGGCUUCACUCAUCCUAUGGGACGAGGCCACGAUGACGAAGUGGCAAGCGGUUGAGGCACUGGACAAUAGCAUGCGGGACAUCAUGGGACGACGGGACCGACCUUUCGGGGGAAAAACUGUCGUGUUCGGUGGGGACUUCAGGCAGGUGCUUCCUGUCGUCAGGAAGGGGUCAUGGGGUCAGAUAAUCGAUUCAACCCUGCGGAAUUACUUGCUAAGGGUAGGCAAUGGCACCGAGGAAACCAACGAGGAAGGCAAGAUAAGGCUCCCCGAAGAUAUUUGUGUGCCGCCAACAGGAGAUGGUGUUGACCUAGAGAAGCUAAUCGACCAUGUAUUUCGUGCUCUAGAUGACAACAUGGCUGAUCCAAAUUACAUGACAUCUCGAGCGAUCCUCUCCACCAAGAAUGACAAUGUUGAUAAGAUAAACACACGCAUGAUAGAGCGCUUCCAGGGCGAAGAGAAGAUCUACCACAGUUUUGAUAGUGCAGAGGAUGAUCCACACGGCUACUAUGCCCCCGAGUUCCUCAACAACCUGACUCCCAAUGGCCUGCCUCCGCAUGCACUCGAACUAAAGAUAAAUUGCCCAGUUAUACUGUUGAGAAAUAUUGAUCCAGCUAAUGGGUUGUGUAACGGCACAAGGCUUGUGGUCCGGGGUUUCCAAAGGAACGCCAUCGACGCAGAAAUCGUGCUAGGACAACAUUCUGGUAGGAGGGUGUUCCUUCCUCGGAUACCUCUCUGCCCAUCCGAUGACGAUAUAUUCCCUUUCAAGUUCAAGAGGAAGCAGGUCCCUAUUAGGCUCAGCUUUGCCAUGACAAUCAACAAGGCGCAAGGGCAAACCAUCCCCAUUGUCGGGGUUUACCUACCGGACCCGAUUUUCUCUCAUGGUCAGCUUUACAUCGCAUUGUCUAGAGCCACCGCGAAGAGGAACAUUAAGAUUCUCGCCAUCAAGGACAACGACAAUGGUAAGGGCAAGGGCAAGGACGAAAGCAAGAAUUCAAAGAAGCGAAAAAGAUCUGAGCCCUUAUUAACGACCAUGAAGAACAUAGUCUACAAGGAAGUCCUUAGCACAUGA
rnacentral:rRNA from 1 species